CCCCUCCCCAAACUCUGUAAAACCUUGCAAAACCUCUUUGUCAAAGGCAACCCAUGGGAUGACUGUACACAACACAGGCAACAAUGGCUUUCCCACUCCUCUUUCAACACUCUAUGAACUUCACACGCCUGUGGAGACAAGUCUGCCAGCGAGACACUUCCAUGGCAAUGUUCUUUUUAGGGAGCCCUAGCAACUGACUGAGGAGCAGUGAAUAAUUUACUAUGCAGUUUUCCAGUUUGGCCCUCUAUAAAUAGUCGGAGAGAUUUCCUCUUUAAGUUGGCUUUACUUAUUACUGUGGCUCUCAGUGGGGUGGGGAUAAACCAUAUUUCUUCCAUGGGGUGCUGGUACAGAGCACUUUUCAAAGUGGAAUUAUGAGCAGCAGACCUCUUGGGAGAAAAGGGAGAGAGGACAGGAAGAGGUUGUGGCAGGGGGAGAACGUCCAACAUUUCAGCAUAAACAAGGCAUAUAACUCCAUCUACCUGAGGGAUGCAUGCUCGGUUCAUAUAACACCAUUCCCCAGUGACAGAGCAACAUCCUGCACUAGACAAGAAGGUACAUGCCCUCCAAGGAAGUUUCCAAAAUCUUGAUCAUACUUGCCAGUGUCAGCUGGAUUCUUCACCUGGCAAGGAAACUGCUGAAGGAAGAGGUCUGCAGCUGCACAGACGGAUCAGAGGAGCAGAAAUAAGGUUACACAAGAAACAAGUACAAAUAAGGACGCUGUUUCAGUUCACAAAAUGAAACGUAAUUCACUGGUGCUCUAGGGAGAACAAGUCAUAACCCAGACAGCCCUGAUGUCUUUACCAAUCCAAGAACCCUGAGGAAAGAUGCUGAUUCUGUCACCUCCCCAUUUCUAAUCUCAUGGCCCACCCUCUGUCUCUUCCUGCUGUGUUCAAAACCAGAGCUCAGCAUGCUGCAUCACUAUAAUAUUAGAAGACUUGGAGGCAGCUCACAAACGUAUCAAAGUAGCUGAUCAAUCAAACCAAUAUGUGAAAGGAAAGUGCCUGAGCCAAGCAUGUUUUCUAUGCUAUAUCCAUUAAAAAUCAGCCCCAGAAUUCAGGAUACGGCAGCCAGCCGACCUGCUGUCAUUUGCUGUUAAAUCUGACGUAAAACAACUCACAAUGGCAGUGUCACCACUAUUAUUAGCCAGAAAUAAGAAAAUUU
rnacentral:lncRNA from 1 species